UAAGGUAAUUCCGCCCAGGGUAAGUCGGAGCCUAAGACGAGGCCGAAAGGCGUAGUCGAUGGUAAACAGGUUAAUAUUCCUGUACCAGUUGCAGCGAGUCAAUGAUGGCGUGACGUGGUUCUGAAGGUGUACCGGCGAUUGGAAAUGCCGGGCCAAGCCGGAGAGGGGUCCGUUGGAAAAUCCGCGGACAUAAACUCGAAGGUGAGUGCGAGCUCCGCAAGGAGCGAAGUCAUCGGAGGCACCGCCAAGAAAAGCGUCGGUUCGUAUUGCUGCAGCUGUCCGUACUAAAACUGACACAGGUAGGCGAGGCGAGUAGCCUCAGGCGCUCGAGAGAACCCAGGAGAAGGAACUCGGCAAAAUGGUUCCGUAACUUCGGAAGAAGGAUCGCCCAUGGCCUUGUUAAAGGGGCUGUGGGCCGCAGUGAAUCGGCUCUCGCGACUGUUUAUCAAAAACACAGGUCUGUGCAAAGUCCUAAAGACGACGUAUACAGACUGACGCCUGCCCGAUGCCGGAAGGUUAAGGGGAAGGGUUAACCGCAAGGUGAAGCUCAUAACCGAAGCCCCGGUGAAUGGCGGCCGUAACUAUGACGGUCCUAAGGUAGCGAAGUUCCUUGUCGGGUAAGUUCCGACCCGCAUGAAUGGCGUAACGACGGGAGCGCUGUCUCCUCCUGGGACUCGGCGAAAUUGGCGUGGCAGUGAAGAGACUGCCUACCCGCAGCAGGACGGAAAGGCCCCGUGAACCUUUACUGUAGUCUAUUAUUGGGUCUUGGGUUAACAUGUGUAGGAUAGGUGGGAGACGUAGAAGCGGUGGCGCAAGCCAUCGUGGAGUCGCCGUUGAAAUACCACUCUUGUUAAUCUAGGAUUCUAACCGCGCGCCGUGAAUCCGGGCGCGGGACAGUGAUAGAUGGGCAGUUUGGCUGGGGCGGUCUCCUCCCAAAGUGUAACGGAGGAGUGCAAAGGCACCCUCAGCACGGUUGGCAAUCGUGCGUAGAGCGCAAAGGUAUAAGGGUGCUUGACUGCGAGUCCAACGAGACGAGCAGACGUGAAAGCGGGCCUUAGUGAUCCGGUGGUCGCGUGUGGAAGCGCCAUCGCUCAACGGAUAAAAGGUACUCCGGGGAUAACAGGCUUAUCACGCCCAAGAGUUCAUAUCGACGGCGUGGUUUGGCACCUCGAUGUCGGCUCAUCGCAUCCUGGGGCUGAAGGAGGUCCCAAGGGUUUGGCUGUUCGCCAAUUAAAGCGGUACGUGAGCUGGGUUCAGACCGGCGUGAGCCAGGUCGGUCCCUAUCCGCUGUGGGCGCAGGACCAUUGAGGGAUUUUGACCUUAGUACGAGAGGAUUGGGUCGGACGGACCUCUGGUGUACCAGUUGUCCCGCCAGGGGCAGUGCUGGGUAGCUAUGUCCGGAACGGAUAAACGCUGAAGGCAUCUAAGCGUGAAACCUGUCCCAAGAUGAGUGGUCCCUAUAGGCUCCUCGAAGACUACGAGGUAGAUAGGCGGGAUGUGUAAGCACAGCAAUGUGUUGAGCUAACCCGUACUAAUGAGCCGAUCGGCUUGACCUU
rnacentral:rRNA from 1 species